GAAUAUUGGACAAUGGGGGGAACCCUGACCCAGCCAUGCCGCGUGUGUGAAGAAGGCCUUUUGGUUGUAAAGCACUUUAAGCGAGGAGGAGGCUACCUGGAUUAAUACUUUAGGACCGUUGACGUUACUCGCAGAAUAAGCCCCGCCUAACCCUGUCCCCGCAGCCGCGGUAAUACAGAGGGUGCGAGCGUUGAUCGGAUUUACGGGGCGUAAAGCGUGCGUAGGAGGCAAAUUAAGUCAAAUGUGAAAUCCCCGAGCUUAACUUGGGAAGUGCAUUCGAUACUGGUUGGCUAGAGUAUGGGAGAGGAUGGUAGAAUUCCAGGUGUAGCGGUGAAAUGCGUAGAGAUCUGGAGGAAUACCGAUGGCGAAGGCAGCCAUCUGGCCUAAUACUGACACUGAGGUGCGAAAGCAUGGGGAGCAAACAG
rnacentral:rRNA from 1 species